GUGGGUGUAGCUCAGUGGUGUUAGAGCACAUGCUUAGCAUGGACAAGGUCCUGGGUUCAACCCCCAGUACCUCCG
rnacentral:tRNA from 1 species